GAUGAACGCUGGCGGCGUGCCUAAUACAUGCAAGUCGAGCGAACAGACGAGGAGCUUGCUCCUCUGACGUUAGCGGCGGACGGGUGAGUAACACGUGGAUAACCUACCUAUAAGACUGGGAUAACUUCGGGAAACCGGAGCUAAUACCGGAUAAUAUAUUGAACCGCAUGGUUCAAUAGUGAAAGACGGUUUUGCUGUCACUUAUAGAUGGAUCCGCGCCGCAUUAGCUAGUUGGUAAGGUAACGGCUUACCAAGGCAACGAUGUGUAGCCGACCUGAGAGGGUGAUCGGCCACACUGGAACUGAGACACGGUCCAGACUCCUACGGGAGGCAGCAGUAGGGAAUCUUCCGCAAUGGGCGAAAGCCUGACGGAGCAACGCCGCGUGAGUGAUGAAGGUCUUCGGAUCGUAAAACUCUGUUAAUAGGGAAGAACAAAUGUGUAAGUAACUAUGCACGUCUUGACGGUACCUAAUCAGAAAGCCACGGCUAACUACGUG
rnacentral:rRNA from 1 species